UCAAGCCUCCAGCUAAACGCGGUGCUUUGACGGCUCGCUCCAGACCGUACCUGACAUUUGUCCCCAGUCCAACCGGAUGCGGCAUGAAAAAUUCACUGAGACGAGGAGCUGGAAGAAAUCGACAUUUCUCCCGUGACUUUCACCUCGGGGAGAGCAAGGUUGUCCUCUGGAAAGCGGUGAGUGUAAUUAAUGGAUGACAGUCGUCUCAGGGUGGGGUCGGGCUCAUAGUUGGCUAAAUGAGGCCAUCGCACCCCCCGCUGCUGAUUACCAAUGGCAAAAAAAGACGCUUAACUUGUCCCUUAAGUCAAGAGAAACCAGCUGACACGCCAACAACGAGACCAUCAAGGACAAAGUCAGAUGCCUGGUUGCUUCCAUUGCUCAAAUGCUGAAAACAAGACGUUAGAGGUGGGCGAUAUGACCAAAAUCCUGAGUAAUUUUAUAUCGCACUAACAGUGGGA